rnacentral:rRNA from 1 species
GAUGAACGCUGGCGGCGUGCUUAACACAUGCAAGUCGAACGAGAAGUGGAGACGGAAACCUUCGGGCGGAAGACUUUAUUUCGAGUGGCGGACGGGUGAGUAACGCGUGGGUAACCUGCCUCAUACAGGGGGAUAACAGUUGGAAACGACUGUUAAUACCGCAUAAGACCACCGCACCGCAUGGUUCGGGGGUAAAAACUCCGGUGGUAUGAGAUGGACCCGCGUUCGAUUAGCCAGUUGGCGGGGUAACGGCCCACCACAGCGACGAUCGAUAGCCGAUCUGAGAGGCUGACCCGCCACAAUGGGACUGAGGCACGGCCCAAACUCCUACGGGAGGCAGCAGUGGGGAAUAUUGCACAAUGGGGGAAACCCUGAUGCAGCGACGCCGCGUGAGUGAAGAAGUAUUUCGGUAUGUAAAGCUCUAUCAGCAGGGAAGAAAAUGACGGUACCUGAGAAAGAAGCCCCGGCUAACUACGUG